UGAAUCCCGAGUAGCAUGGGGCACGAGGAAUCCCAUGUGAAUCAGCGAGGGACCACCUCGUAAGGCUAAAUACUACUGUGUGACCGAUAGUGAACCAGUACCGCGAGGGAAAGGUGAAAAAGGACCCCGGAAGGGGAGUGAAAAUAGAACAUGAAACCGUUAGCUUACAAGCAGUGGGAGGACGAUUUAACGUCUGACCGCGUGCCUGUUGAAGCAUGAGCCGGCGAGUUAUAGGCAGUGGCAGGUUAAGACCCUAUGGGUUGCAGCCCUAGCGAAAGCGAGUUUGACAAGAGCGCCCGUGUGAAAGCACAGGUCACUGUUUAUAGACCCGAACCCGGGUGAUCUAACCAUGUCCAGGAUGAAGCUUGGGUAACACCAAGUGGAGGUCCGAACCGACUGAUGAUUGAAAAAUCAGCGGAUGACCUGUGGUUAGGGUGAAAUGCCAAUCGAACCCGGAGCUAGCUGGUUCUCCCGAAAUGUGUUGAGGCGCAGCGGCAUGAUAUAGCAAGGGGUAAGCACUGAUCGGUGCGGGCUGCGAGAGCGGUACCAAAUCGAGUCAAACUCUGAAUACC
rnacentral:rRNA from 1 species